UGGGGAAUAUUGCACAAUGGGCGAAAGCCUGAUGCAGCAACGCCGCGUGCGGGAUGACGGCCUUCGGGUUGUAAACCGCUUUCAGCAGGGACGAAGGUUUUCUGACGGUACCUGCAGAAGAAGCACCGGCUAACUACGUGCCAGCAGCCGCGGUGAUACGUAGGGUGCGAGCGUUGUCCGGAAUUAUUGGGCGUAAAGAGCUUGUAGGCGGUCCGUUGCGUCGGAAGUGAAAACUCAGGGCUUAACCCUGAGCCUGCUUUCGAUACGGGCGGACUUGAGGGAUGUAGGGGAGAACGGAAUUCCUGGUGGAGCGGUGGAAUGCGCAGAUAUCAGGAGGAACACCAGUGGCGAAGGCGGUUCUCUGGACAUUUCCUGACGCUGAGAAGCGAAAGCGUGGGGAGCAAACAGGCUUAGAUACCCUGGUAGUCCACGCCGUAAACGGUGGGCACUAGGUGUGGGACCCAUUCCACGGGUUCCGUGCCGUAGCUAACGCAUUAAGUGCCCCGCCUGGGGAGUACGGCCGCAAGCUAAAACUCAAAGGAAUUGACGGGGUCAUGAGCUGUUU
rnacentral:rRNA from 1 species